UACGUAGGGGGCAAGCGUUAUCCGGAUUUACUGGGUGUAAAGGGAGCGUAGACGGCAUAGCAAGUCUGAAGUGAAAGCCCGUGGCUCAACCGCGGAACUGCUUUGGAAACUGUUAAGCUGGAGUACUGGAGAGGCAAGCGGAAUUCCUAGUGUAGCGGUGAAAUGCGUAGAUAUUAGGAGGAACACCAGUGGCGAAGGCGGCUUGCUGGACAGAGACUGACGUUGAGGCUCGAAAGCGUGGGGAGCAAGCAGG
rnacentral:rRNA from 1 species